UACGUAGGGUGCAAGCGUUGUCCGGAUUUAUUGGGCGUAAAGAGCUCGUAGGCGGCGCGUUGCGUCGAAAGUGAAAACCAUAGGCUUAACUUGUGGCUUGCUUUCGGUACGGGCGUGCUUGAGUGCGGUAGGGGAGACUGGAAUUCCUGGUGUAGCGGUGAAAUGCGCAGAUAUCAGGAGGAACACCUGAGGCGAAGGCGGGCUACUGGGCUGAUACUGACGCUGAUGCGCGAAAGCCAGGGGAGCAAACGGG
rnacentral:rRNA from 1 species